rnacentral:misc_RNA from 1 species
AAAGACCAGAAAUGCCAGUUGCA